rnacentral:rRNA from 1 species
CAGUCGCCGCGGUAAUACGUAGGGUGCAAGCGUUAAUCGGAAUUACUGGGCGUAAAGCGUGCGCAGGCGGUUUGUUAAGACAGAUGUGAAAUCCCCGGGCUUAACCUGGGAACUGCAUUUGUGACUGGCAAGCUAGAGUCUGGCAGAGGGGGGUGGAAUUCCGCGUGUAGCAGUGAAAUGCGUAGAUAUGCGGAGGAACACCGAUGGCGAAGGCAGCCCCCUGGGCCAACACUGACGCUCAUGCACGAAAGCGUGGGGAGCAAACAGGAUUAGAGACCCCCGUAGUCCCUGUCUCUUAUAC